rnacentral:lncRNA from 1 species
GCAUAGUAGUCGUAGCUUACGCUAAAUACGCUGUCCACCUUCGUGUCGAGAACACGUUUUGGCAGUGAACCAAUGUCGAGCAGGCAGUAGGACGCGUUGGAAGCUUAUGGAAUAGUUGGUGCAUUCGCACUUAAUUUCGCAUUCAACGCAAGAACAAUAAUUUAACUGAAAUUUAUAAAUGCAUUCGAAAACCAGUUGAAGCCAAUAAAACUAAAUAAAAAAGCAGUUGUGAGCAAGUUAUUACUGUAGCAGCUAGUUGUUGUUAUUGUUGCUGAAUUGCUGUUGCUACUUCGCAAGAAUCUUUGGAACUUGAUGGUCUGCCUGGCUAGCUAAACAACUUUAGUCAACGUGUAAAAGCGGCCGCGGUCGCAACGGUUUAGAGCAGCAAGCGAACGUUUUUUUUUUCGAAUUACCAAUAUUGCCAAUAGUGCGAAACAAGCGACAACAGCAUUAGCGGUAAUACGAUUUUUUUUUUUUUGUUUUCUGAGGAUAAACUUGGUUGUGGCACCAUCAAGCGAUUUACCAAUCAACCAAGAAAGUUUGUAAUGCAACAGUAAGCAAUCAAUCGACGAGCGAAACGACAAAGUUGUGUUGAUGCUGAUGCAUCUUGGAAUGCAAGCGAUAAAUUGUAAUGUAUUUUUUGAGGGACUUACAAUACGAAAAUAAAAAGUGGAAAAUUUCAAUCAAAGUGUAACUAAAAAAGUGAAGGGCAAACUAAACUCAGCAGCAGAGGCGUGAAAUUUUUUUAUUAGACAUCAAGCGAACACAGUGGGCUCAUUCAAGCGAAUGAAAUGAAGCAUAAUUGAAAAACAAAAAAAAAAAUAUUAAAACAUAAAAAUUGAUUAAAAAUUA